UGUUCAUACUGUUGGGGUGUAAACUACCCAAGCAAAAUAUGAGGUGCUGUUCGUCCAAUUUGCACUGGGCCUCGCUCUGACAAUGGAGGAGACCCAGGACAGAAAGGUUAGAUUGGGAAUGGGCGGGGGAGUUGACGUACUGAGCAACCGGUAUAUCUGCCAGCAC